rnacentral:lncRNA from 1 species
AAAAAUGAAUGCUAAAAAAAGCUAAAAACUAAAGCUAGCCAAUGCUUACCUUUAUAAUAUUUUUUUCUCCAGUGCGCAUACCCUGGUAAACAAACUGGACUACCUCAGAUUAUCAAACUGAAGCCAAAUAUGCAUCAGAAGUGCACAGUCCCUGGUAAACAAACUGGACUACCUCAGAUUAUGAAAAUGGAGCUAAAUAUGCAUCAAAAGACUCAUACACAAGGUAGUUGGAUUGUCUGUGCUAAACUCCCCCCUGGUUUGAGAGUGUUUGGUGACUGGUGAUGGUGACUGGUGCCCAUUCCAGGGGACACUCCUGCCUUGCACCCAAUGAUACUGGAUACACACUGACUGAACCCACAAAGACCCUAACCAGGAAGAAGCGGACAAAGAGUAUAAUAGAUGGAUGGGUGAAUGAAUGAAUGCUAUACAUUUUUAUUAUUAUCAGUCAUUGUUGUCAGUAUUAUUGCUGUCAUUGUUAGUUUUAUUUUUAUUCUUAUUGUUGUAAUGUGUUGAUAAUAUUGUACUCAUUACAGUCAUGUCAGUAGAGCUAGAUACCUUUUAUCUGAAUCUGGAAGACAACAAGAGAAAGAGAGAAAAAGAGAGAAACAGAGCACAAAAGGAAGAAUGAGGGGGUCAUGACUCCAUUGGAGAAUAAGCUGAAGGCAGGAAAUACUGUCAGGCAGAAGAAAGCUUACAUUAAUUGGGGGAUGAAUAUACACUGUCUUUAUCUGCGUGCGUGUGUGUGUGUGGUUUCC